GGGGGUGACAUGGCUUCGACGUGGGUAGUGAACCCACUGGUGCAUGUCGAGGGGCAGAGGACCUCGUAAAUCUAACUGCAAACUUUUAGUUGCCAACGACGACAACUACGCAAUCGCUGCCUAAACACCAGUAGAUUGCCUUCCGGCCAGUGCUUGCUUGUAGGCGUUGGAUUUCGGGAGUCAUCCUAUACAAGAUCGUGAUCUGUUCAGCCUGAGUUCAGAACACUAAAACUUAAACGGGCUCGUUGAUCAAAAUCCUGUAUCGCCGGAGUUUGUGAUAUUAAAUUAAAAGGCGGAAACUAAACAUGUAGACCCAAUGGCAGAUCGCUUGCGGACGGGAGUUCGAUUCUCCCCACCUCCACCA
rnacentral:tmRNA from 1 species